rnacentral:tRNA from 1 species
CGUUUUUGUAGUGGACGAGGCUGCCGUCCUCGGCGUCGUUGGCGUCGCCCUUGGUGCGGAAGCGCAGAGUGGAGGGAUCGUCCUCGUCGGGGACCACC